UACGUAGGGCGCAAGCGUUGUCCGGAAUUAUUGGGCGUAAAGAGCUCGUAGGCGGCUUGUCACGUCGGGUGUGAAAGCCCGGGCUUAACCCCGGGUCUGCAUUCGAUACGGGCAGGCUAGAGUGUGGUAGGGGAGAUCGGAAUUCCUGGUGUAGCGGUGAAAUGCGCAGAUAUCAGGAGGAACACCGGUGGCGAAGGCGGAUCUCUGGGCCAUUACUGACGCUGAGGAGCGAAAGCGUGGGGAGCGAACAGG
rnacentral:rRNA from 1 species